UUUAGCCGGCAGCUAGCUCUCUGCAACUCUCACAUGGUCGCCCACUGAAGCUAAGCAGGGCUGUGCCCGGAUAGUACCUGGAUGGUAAACCGCCUGGCUCCGGCUCCUGCUGGAA
rnacentral:rRNA from 1 species